rnacentral:rRNA from 1 species
GACGUAGGAGGCGAGCGUUGUCCGGAUUCAUUGGGCGUAAAGAGCGCGCAGGCGGCUUGGUAAGUCGGAUGUGAAAUCCCGAGGCUCAACCUCGGGUCUGCAUCCGAUACUGCCCGGCUAGAGUGUGGUAGGGGAGACUGGAAUUCCUGGUGUAGCGGUGAAAUGCGCAGAUAUCAGGAGGAACACCGAUGGCGAAGGCAGGUCUCUGGGCCACUACUGACGCUGAGAAGCGAAAGCAUGGGGAGCGAACAGG